rnacentral:rRNA from 1 species
AUAUCAAUAAGCGGAGGAAAAGAAACCAACAGGGAUUGCCUCAGUAACGGCGAGUGAAGCGGCAACAGCUCAAAUUUGAAAUCUGGUCCUUUCAGGGCCCGAGUUGUAAUUUGGAGAGGAUGCUUCGGCUGCGGCCCUGGUCUAAGUUCCUUGGAACAGGACGUCACAGAGGGUGAGAACCCCGUACGUGGCUGGGUGCCUACGCCAUGUGAAGCUCCUUCGACGAGUCGAGUUGUUUGGGAAUGCAGCUCUAAACGGGAGGUAGAUUUCUUCUAAAGCUAAAUACCGGCGAGAGACCGAUAGCGCACAAGUA